rnacentral:rRNA from 1 species
ACUCAGUGAAAUUGAACUCGCUGUGAAGAUGCAGUGUACCCGCGGCAAGACGGAAAGACCCCGUGAACCUUUACUAUAGCUUGACACUGAACAUUGAGCCUUGAUGUGUAGGAUAGGUGGGAGGCUUUGAAGUGUGGACGCCAGUCUGCAUGGAGCCGACCUUGAAAUACCACCCUUUAAUGUUUGAUGUUCUAACGUGGACCCGUAAUCCGGGUUGCGGACAGUGUCUGGUGGGUAGUUUGACUGGGGCGGUCUCCUCCUAAAGAGUAACGGAGGAGCACGAAGGUUGGCUAAUCCUGGUCGGACAUCAGGAGGUUAGUGCAAUGGCAUAAGCCAGCUUGACUGCGAGCGUGACGGCGCGAGCAGGUGCGAAAGCAGGUCAUAGUGAUCCGGUGGUUCUGAAUGGAAGGGCCAUCGCUCAACGGAUAAAAGGUACUCCGGGGAUAACAGGCUGAUACCGCCCAAGAGUUCAUAUCGACGGCGGUGUUUGGCACCUCGAUGUCGGCUCAUCACAUCCUGGGGCUGAAGUAGGUCCCAAGGGUAUGGCUGUUCGCCAUUUAAAGUGGUACGCGAGCUGGGUUUAGAACGUCGUGAGACAGUUCGGUCCCUAUCUGCCGUGGGCGCUGGAGAACUGAGGGGGGCUGCUCCUAGUACGAGAGGACCGGAGUGGACGCAUCACUGGUGUUCGGGUUGUCAUGCCAAUGGCACUGCCCGGUAGCUAAAUGCGGAAGAGAUAAGUGCUGAAAGCAUCUAAGCACGAAACUUGCCCCGAGAUGAGUUCUCCCUGACUCCUUGAGAGUCCUGAAGGAACGUUGAAGACGACGACGUUGAUAGGCCGGGUGUGUAAGCGCAGCGAUGCGUUGAGCUAACCGGUACUAAUGAACCGUGAGG